CCUACGGGAGGCAGCAGUGGGGAAUAUUGCACAAUGGGGGAGACCCUGAUGCAGCGACGCCGCGUGAGUGAAGAAGUAAUUCGUUACGUAAAACUCUAUCAGCAGGGGAGCAAUACUGCCCUUACGGUCAGCAUACGGUACCUGAGUAAGAAGCGCCUGCUAACUACGUGCCAGCAGCCGCGGUGAUAAGUAGGGGGCAAGCGUUUUUCGGGUUUAAUUGGUGUAAAGGGGGCGUGGAGGGUGCUCCAAUUCUGGAGGGAAAUGCCGCAGCUUAAAUGCGGAACAGCUGUGGAAACUGGCGAACUAGAGUGCGGGAGGGGUAAGCGGAAUGCGUGGUGUAGCGGUGAAAUGCAUAGAUAUCACGCAGAACUCCGAUUGCGAAGGCAGCAUACCGGCGCUCAACUGACGCUGAGGCACGAAAGCGUGGGGAUCGAACAGGAUUAGAUACCCUAGUAGUC
rnacentral:rRNA from 1 species